UAAGCGUAUUAUAAGUGACUA
rnacentral:siRNA from 1 species